UAAGGAAUAUUGGUCAAUGGAGGGAACUCUGAACCAGCCAUGCCGCGUGCAGGAUGACUGCCCUAUGGGUUGUAAACUGCUUUUGUCCAGGAAUAACCACCACUACGUGUAGUGGCUUGAAUGUACUGGAAGAAUAAGGAUCGGCUAACUCCGUGCCAGCAGCCGCGGUAAUACGGAGGAUUCGAGCGUUAUCCGGAUUUAUUGGGUUUAAAGGGUGCGUAGGCGGCUCAUUAAGUCAGGGGUGAAAGACGGCAGCUCAACUGUCGCAGUGCCUUUGAUACUGAUGAGCUUGAAUGUGGUUGAAGAUGGCGGAAUGAGACAAGUAGCGGUGAAAUGCAUAGAUAUGUCUCAGAACUCCGAUUGCGAAGGCAGCUGUCUAAGUCAUUAUUGACGCUGAUGCACGAAAGCGUGGGGAUCGAACAGGAUUAGAUACCCUGGUAGUCCACGCCCUAAACGAUGAUAACUCGAUGUUGGCGAUACACAGUCAGCGUCUUAGCGAAAGCGUUAAGUUAUCCACCUGGGGAGUACGCCCGCAAGGGUG
rnacentral:rRNA from 1 species